GAUGAACGCUAGCUACAGGCUUAACACAUGCAAGUCGAGGGACCGGCGCACGGGUGAGUAACACGUAUCCAACCUGCCCUUUACUCGGGGAUAGCCUUUCGAAAGAAAGAUUAAUACCCGAUAUAAAGGAUGGGGAUGCGUUCCAUUAGGUUGUUGGUGAGGUAACGGCUCACCAAGCCUUCGAUGGAUAGGGGUUCUGAGAGGAAGGUCCCCUGCGUUGGAACUGAGGCACGGACCAAACUCCGACGGGAGGGAGGAGUAGGGAAUAUUGGUCAAUGAGCGCUAGCCUGAACCAGCCAAGUAGCGUGAAGGAUGAAGGCUUAGGAGUCGUAAGCUGCUUUUAUAUAAGAAUAUGUAUUAUAUGAAUAAGGAUCGGCUAACUCCGUGCCAGCAGCCGCGGUAAUAC
rnacentral:rRNA from 1 species